ensembl:lncRNA CCDC26 CCDC26 long non-coding RNA
AUGCCGAAGCUGAGGUCGGAAAUUACGAAGAUCAGCUAUGUAAGUUAAAGGGUGAGGGGAAAGGGAGCCCAAUGAGAGGGAGAGAGGGAAAAAACAGGGAGCGUGCACGUGCACGUGAGAGAGACAGAGACAGAGAGAGAGAAUAUAUGAGAAAGUGAAGAAGAGAAAAUGGGAGAGGGAGAGAAAACAUACAAUUAUGUAUGUCUGGAGCACACCAUAUUAAAGGAGGGAGUGGCAGAAAACGUGAGGUGGGAAUCAAAUCAUGCUGGGCUUUUUGGCCAGGAAGGCCUGAGGAGAGAAGACACAUAGUCAUGCUGACUAAACCAGAUCACCUAGAAUUACCAAAUGGAAAGCAUCUACUUGUUUCCAAAGUUAUUUGGGUCAGCAUUUUCCUCCACCCACCACUUAAAACUGAUUUGUUUCAUACAUUUGAAAUGUAUGAAAAGCCAGAAAUCCAGGACCCACCCUGGCCUGCUCCCUUUUUCUCACCUACUGUGUUAAGAUUUCAAAACCAAGAUCAAGGCAUGGAAAGUGAGACUAACUACAUCAGGCCAGAAAUGAAAAGCAACUUAGGAGUCAAUUUUAGAAACAUCAUCAGUGGUGUAGAAGAGCUCAGGGAAGCAAGGAGGGCUGCUGUGAAUGACACCAUGAAUUUCUGAAUGUGAUGUCCCUUCAAUUCAUGAGGAAUGAAGCAACGAUAUCUCCUAAAACACCAGGAUUUGCUAAAGAUAAUGAUAGAUUAAUUGUGAACAGCCUGAAGUAUCAAGUAGGUAGGACAAAGCAGCCCCAGUGUGUGUUGUUCCCCUCUAUGCGUCCAUAUGUCUUGUUAAACUACCAAAGACAUUCUUCACAGAACUAGAAAAACUAUUUUAAAA